AUGUCAACUGGUUGUUGGGAAGGUUCCUUCUCAGUAACGUAGCUAACGCGUGAAGUUGACCGCCUGGGGAGUACGGCCGCAAGGUUGAAACUCAAAGGAAUUGACGGGGGACCCGCACAAGCGGUGGGAUGAUGUGGUUUAAUUCGAUGCAACGCGAAAAACCUUACCUACCCUUGACAUGCCUGGAAUCCUGCAGAGAUGUGGGAGUGCUCGAAAGAGAACCAGGACACAGGUGCUGCAUGGCCGUCGUCAGCUCGUGUCGUGAGAUGUUG
rnacentral:rRNA from 1 species